ensembl:lncRNA
UUUUUUUUUUUGGUUGAUUGUUUGCUUUUUGUUUUGUUUUUUAUAAACCAGAAUCUAGUACAUAAUGAGGUAUACUCUCCCAUUAAAGUAGAUAUUUAAAAAUUCCAAUUCAUAAAACAGGUGCAAAAGGAAUUUCUCUUUGAAACUGAAAUUGAAUUAAGGUAUAUUUAAGGUGGAUGGAGGCAUCCUUCACAUUUUCCUCACAGAUAAUAUCAGCUCCUAUGUCCUUUUCAGGGAUGGCUCUAGAACACAACAUAGCACUUGCAUAAAGUUUAUUGAUAAACAGUGUACUGUUCUUAUGAGUUUUAAAAAACUCAUCAAUUGAUAUGAUCACUAUCACAAUAAAGAUAGUGAGCAGCUCCCAAAUGUUGUCCUUAGCACUUUGUAGUUAACCUUUCGCCCAUCCCUAGCCCUCGACAAUCACUGAUAUGCUAUCCAUCCAUACAGGGUUGUCUUUUCCAGAUGUUAUAUAAAUGGAAUCAUAGAGUCUAUAACAUCUUUUAAACUAACAUCUUUCAUUUUAGCAUAGUAUAUUUCUGUGCAAAACUGUCAUUUGUUCCUUUGUAUGGCUGAGUAUUCUUUCAUUGUAUGGAUGGACCACGAUUUGUUAACUUAUUCCCUAGUGAUGGGAGUUUGGCUUGUUUGCAGGUUUUGGUGAUUAUAAAGUUAGUAAAACAUUUGAGUACAGAUUUUUGUGUGACUCUACAUUUUUUUAAUUUCACAUGGGUAAAUAUCUAGAGAGAAGUGAAACUAUUCUGAUGAAGGUAAAUAUAGGCUUAACUCCAUAAAAAAAUAUCAAGUUGUUUAUGUAUUGUUUAGUGGCCCUUUCACAACAGUGGUCCUGUGUUGAGAGAGAUUAUGUGGUUCACAAAGCCUAAAAUAUUUAUUAGUUGUCUCUCUAUAGAAAAGGGUUAAUGACCUUUGGCCCAGAAUAUAGUCCAUCUUGGUGAAUGUUCCACAUGCACUUGAAAAAAAAAAAAGAGUAUUUUGCUGUUAUUGGAUGAAGUGCUUUAUAUGUCUCAAUUAGUUCACAUUCAUUGACAGUGAUGUUCAAGUCACUAUCAGUGAUUUGAAAAGAAGGAUAAUAAAGAACUGCAGAACAGAGUACUUUAUGAACAGAGUCAGUUAAGCUCUUAGUUAAAUGAAACAUAAAGCAACUCUGAAUAACAUAAACAAAAAAGUAAUUGAUUGGAUGGAUGUGGAAUAAUCUUCAUUAAAUUAAAGGAGAACUGAACAGGGACAGGCAGCUGGGAAGACACUGGUGGCAGAGACUCAAAAACGGCCUCAUCAGGCCACAAGACUCAUUGUGGUAACUUAUGACCAUUCCCCUGUGAUUUUCUUCUCAACAUUAAAAUGCCUCAAAAAUCUGGUUGCAAACUCUAAAUAAUGAAUGAGUCAAAGAGGAUAUUCCAAUGAAAAUUAGAAAGUAAUCCGAACAAAAUAAAAAUAUGACAUUGAAAUUCACUGGACACAGUUAAAAGUGUGUUUAGAGGGACAUGUUUAGAAUUAUAUUGGCCUGAAAAUUAAUUAUCUAAGAUUCGAUCUCAAGAAGAUAUAAAAAGGACAAUAAAUUAAACUCAAGGAAAUACAAGAAUUAAAUAAUAAUAAAAAGAUUAAAAUUUAUUGAAAUAGAAAAAUAAGAAAUAAGGAAAAUCAACAAAGACAAAAUGUGUUCUUGUUCUCAUUAUUAAACCAUUAGAAUAAUAAAACAGAGGAAAAAACACAAAUUAGUAAUAUUAGGAAAAGAAAAGAGGAUAUGCCUCAAAUCUGCAGACUAAAAUAUACAAUAAAGAAGUAUUAUUAACAAUUUUAUUCUAAUGAUUUAACAAUUUAGGUCAAUCAGAUGAGUUCAUUGAAAAGACAUUAAAAAAUAAAGAAUGAAAAUAUUUGACCAUCUGAAUUGUUGCUGAAAAACAUUUACUAAAAGUUAAGGAGUUCCCGUUGUGGCUCAGCAGUUAAUGAACCUGACUGGUAUCCAGCAGGAUGCAAGUUCAAUCUCUGACCUUGAUCAGUGGGUUAAGCAUCCAGCAUUGUCGUGGGCUGUGGUGUAGGCCACAGAUGUGACUCAGAUCCCUUGAUGCCGUGGCUGUGGCGUAGACCAGCAGCUACAGCUCUGAUUCGACCACUAGCUGGGAACUUCCAUAUGCUGCAGGGGCAGCCCUAAAAAAAAAAAAAGUUAAUACUGUACAUGAUGAAAAUUUUAAACAAGUUAGGAAUACAAAAUAAUUUUUUACUUUCUCUUGGGGCUAGUAAUAUAGCAAGUAUAUUUACUCAUAUUGGCUUUAAUUAAUAUUUUCCUAAAUAUGCCAAAACUAUAAUGUGAUAUAGCGGAAAAUGGUAUAAAGGUUGUAAAUUUUUUAAAAACAUGCACAUAGAAAACCUAAAAGAUGCAUUUGCUAUAAAGUCAUUACACAAAACUCAAUAAUAUUUUAUACAGUAGCAAUAAAUAUGAAAUUAAAGAUAAAAUUCCAUUUGAAAUACUACCAUAUGACCAUUAAUAAAUCCAGAAAAUUAUAUGCAAGACUUCUCAACUUAAAACUACAAAGUAUAUAGAGAAAAUAAAGACACAAACUAAAAGAGGAAUACACCACGUUUAUAGGGAAAGAGAGUCAAUAUUUUGUUACAUCAAUUUCUCUUUAUUGGUCUCCAGAGUAAAAAAAAAAAAUAAUGUUCCAAGCAAAGCUUCACCAUUUUAUUUUUAUGAAUAUUGAGAGACUGAUAUUAAAUUCUCUGCGAAAAUACAAACAAACUAGAAUAGUCAAGACGUUCCUAAACAGAAAUCAGUGCUAUGAGUUUUAAACUACUUAAUGAUAAGGUGAAUUACAAAGUUACAGUAAUUAAGAUGGUGUAAAUGUUGGACUAAGGAAAGAAGAGUAGCCCAAUUUAAUAUAAUUUUACAAGUCAAUAAACAGAAUCAAUAAAUGAGAUCACUUGAUUUGUAACAAAGACGGCACUGUAAUUUGAUAGGGAAAAUGAAUCUUCUGAAUAAAAGAUAUUGGGUUAUACAAUAUACGCAAUUUAAUUUGAGAUUGAUUAUACAUAUAAAUGUGAGAGGUAAAACAAUAAAUCUUCUGGAAGUCAACAUAAGAAAUUACCUUCAUGACUUUGACAGAGGUAUUUAUUAUACAGAACACAAAAUAUUAGUUUAAAAAAAAAAGUGGAUUUUGCUAAAACCUAGAAUUUCUGUUCCUCAAAGACAACAAUGAAAGAGUAAAAAUGUAGUAAUAAUUUGGGAAGAGAUAAUUACAGUGAAUGUUUCAACAAUGGACUCAUUUCUAGAAUAUGUGAAGAAGUCCUAGAAAUUAAGACAAUGACUGGCAUUAAAAUACUUGAACGAAUAAUAAAAACUGCAGAAAAUACUUGAAGAAAUAAUUCACAAAAGAAGAUACCCAAAUGGCAAAUAUAUAUUCCUUUCUAUCUAUCUAUCUAGCUAUCUAGCUAGCUAGCUAUCUGAAAAGUAACUCAACAUGAGAAAUCUUCAGGAAAAUAAUAAAACAAAAUCAUGAGCCAUCACUAAUUUCCAUUCCUAUGCAAGGAGUAAAAAGAUUAACAACAUCAAGCAUUGACAGGGAUAUGGAACAAUUUUAAUUCUCAUUAAAGGAUGGUAUAAAUAACAAGUAACUUCUUUGGAAAACUCUUUGGAAGUGUUUAUUAAGGAUAAUUUUCUAUAUGCAAUAGUCUAUGACUCAGGAAUUCAAUUCCUAGUUAUGUAUUAAUGGAAAUGAAUGCAUCGUCUCAUUAAAAGACAUGUACCACAGUGCUCAUACAGCUUUAUUUAAAAUUAACAAAUCUGGAGUUCCUGUUGUGGAGCAGCAAAAAGAAUCCAACUAGUAUCCAUGAGGAUGUGGGUUCAAUCCCUGGCUUUACUCAGUGGGUUAAGGAUAUGGUGUUUCUGUGAGCUGUGGUGUAGGUUGCAUAUGCAGAUGCGACUUGGAUCUGGCGUUGCUGUGGCUGUGGUACAGGCCAUCAUCUGUGGCUGCAAUUUGAGGCCUGAGAACUUCCAUGUGCUGCAGUGCAGGUGGGGCUAAAAAAGAAAAAAGAAAAAGAAAAAAA